rnacentral:lncRNA from 1 species
CCCCCAGCAGCCCCAGGUGGUAGCCUCCGGGGCCUGAUUAUUAUGGGGGGCAGAAGCGGCACCCUACCCAGCUGAGAAGAAGGUCAAGCCAUCUCCUAGGUGUGAAUGGCGCUAUGCAAGAAGAAAGUGAAUGUGGAAAUUAGUCAGAGCCCAUCUGCCCAAGAACAACAAGAAUCUCUCUAUGAGAAGUCAGUCAUCAGGCUGGAAGGACGGCAGCGUCCUCCCUCCUGGCUUCCUUCUGCCUGGG